GGAGUUAGCCGGUGCUUCUUCUGCGAGUAACGUCACAGAUGUAAGGUAUUAACUUACACCCUUUCCUCCUCGCUGAAAGUGCUUUACAACCCGAAGGCCUUCUUCACACACGCGGCAUGGCUGCAUCAGGGUUUCCCCCAUUGUGCAAUAUUCCCCACUGCUGCCUCCCGUAGGAGUCUGGGCCGUGUCUCAGUCCCAGUGUGGCUGAUCAUCCUCUCAGACCAGCUAGGGAUCGUCGCCUAGGUGAGCCUUUACCUCACCUACUAGCUAAUCCCACCUGGGCUUAUCCAUCAGCGCAAGGCCCGAAGGUCCCCUGCUUUCCCCCGUAGGGCGUAUGCGGUAUUAGCAGUCGUUUCCAACUGUUAUCCCCCACAAAUGGGCAAAUUCCCAGGCAUUACUCACCCGUCCGCCGCUCGUCAUCUUCAAAAGCAAGCUUUUGAAAUGUUACCGCUCGACUUGCAUGUGUUAGGCCUGCCGCCAGCGUUCAUCUGAGCCGAACUACGAACCCUACGA
rnacentral:rRNA from 1 species